GUCCAUCCACCUGGACUGCUCCUUGCACAUUCCUUCUCCUCCGGUCACAUGGCAAUGACACCUGCAACAAGCUGUUACGUCACCUCCCCAGGAACAGAGGUGAGGCCAACCUACCUCCAAGUUGCACACGCCAUCCUCCACACCCUUUCUGAAGGCUGCGGUGGCAUCCGCCAUCCUCCAGUCUUCAGGUACCUUUCCCACAGGAAACAGCAGGGAAAAUGACAGAGAGCGCCAUUUGCCGGUCACCGCUGCCAGCUCUCAGCGGGCACAGGCAUAGCCCUCUACAGCUCAGGCAUUUGCUGGCCUCCUUUCUGCCUGAACCACUUUUGACCAGCUCCUCUGCAACUGAGGGGAAGGCAGCCUUCCUCUGAGACUCUCUCCUCCAGGACCCCAGGAGCACUCUCAGCAGAAACCACUGAAACCAAAACAGGCAUCCAGCAUGUCCUCCAUCCUCCAUUACUCAGGCCCUUGCCUUGUGAAGCACAGGCCUGCAAUUUCUCCAGUCUCUCCUGUUGACAAACUUCCAUUAGCCUUGACCUCCCUCCCAAAGCUGAUACUCAGAGGGACUUGGCCUUCCUCAGCCUCUCUCUUCCUUCUCCCCUUCAAGUUCCUCAGUCAGCCCUGCAGGUCCCCCACCAUUCCUGCGCACUUCCUUCCUCCUUGGGACGCAGCGCACCUCAGCAUGGACAAAGUAAUGCUCCAGCAUUCACAGGACCCCUUCCUAUGCUUGAGCAAGGGUUACCUCCAAGUAGGCCCUUCAAGAGGACAAACCUGGCUCCCUCUAAGUCCAGUGUUUCAAUCCUACUCAUUGCUUUGCAGCUUCCACACAAGAUCCCAAACGCUGUGGUCUCACGACUGGCACGCUCCAGGCUGCCCCUGGCCUUCCUGUCCCCAGAUGGCUCUUCUGCAAUAGGGAGCUCCUCAAUGCCUCCUUCGUCACCUGUGUCAGAAGAUCUUACCUUUGACACAUUGCAGGAAACUCCUGGAGCCUACCAUGAGAACUAGCCUCACAGCUG
rnacentral:lncRNA from 1 species